CUACGGGUGGCACCAGUGAGGAAUUUUGCGCAAUGGGGGAAACCCUGACGCAGCAACGCCGCGUGAGUGAUGAAGGCCUUCGGGUCGUAAAACUCUGUCAAGUGGGAAGAACCUAUGUAAGGUUAAUACCCUUAUGUACUGACGGUACCACUGAAGGAAGCACCGGCUAACUCCGUGCCAGCAGCGGCGGUAAUACGGAGGGUGCAAGCGUUAUUCGGAAUUAUUGGGCAUAAAGGGCGCGCAGGCGGUUUUGUAAGUCAGAUGUGAAAGCCCGGGGCUUAACCUCGGAAGUGCAUUUGAUACUGCAAGACUUGAGUAUGGGAGGGGGAAGUGGAAUUCCUGGUGUGGAGGUGAAAUUCGUAGAUAUCAGGAGGAACACCAGUGGCGAAGGCGACUUCCUGGACCAAUACUGACGCUGAGGCGCGAAGGCGUGGGGAGCAAACAGGAUUAGAUACCCCGGUAGUC
rnacentral:rRNA from 1 species